UAUAUGUAAAAGUUAUUGUGUGUGCGUGGGUUAACGACAGACAGAGGAAUUCGAUAUAUCUCUGCCUGAACUGAAACUUGAUAAUUAUUAGUAACAGGUAUUGGAAAACAAUUAUCAUAGAUGUGAGGAUUCUAAUAUUGUAUUCUGUGAUUUCAUCGACAAAGCUUUUGACGUAGAUUGUGUUUUGUCUUUCUGCUGUUCCAAACCUUAUUUAUUAACCAAUAGGAUUAACCACCCAAUGAGGAGAGAUGAAGUUGUUGUUACUACUCUUUCUGAGUACAGUUUUAGCCCAAAACGAUGUAUGUCGAUGUAAGGACGGUUGUGACGACGAUUUUCGCUGUAUAACAGGGAGAUGUCUACCUGGAUGGUCUGGUAACACUUGUCAACGAGAAAAUAUAGCAUUGAACGGUCAAGCAACGCAAACUGCCAACAACUUUGAUGAAAUUACACAGUGUUUAGAUUCUGGAAGUACAAUGCCAUGUGAAGCUGCUAAUGCAAUUGACGGUAUCCAAUCAACCACAUUCAACGCCUCGACUUGCAGCCUACCAGGCAGUAUACAUAAUGUAACGCGUUGGGAAGUACAGUUUAACGAAACAGUGGUCGUUAAUUG